rnacentral:rRNA from 1 species
GACGAACGCUGGCGGCGUGCUUAACACACGCAAGUCGAACGAUGAUCCGGAGCUUGCUUCGGGGAUUAGUGGCGAACGGGUGAGUAACACGUGAGUAACCUGCCCUUGACUCUGGGAUAAGCGCUGGAAACGGCGUCUAAUACCGGAUACGACCUGCCCCGGCAUCGGGUGCGGGUGGAAAGUUUUUCGGUCAAGGAUGGACUCGCGGCCUAUCAGCUUGUUGGUGAGGUAAUGGCUCACCAAGGCGACGACGGGUAGCCGGCCUGAGAGGGUGACCGGCCACACUGGGACUGAGACACGGCCCAGACUCCUACGGGAGGCAGCAGUGGGGAAUAUUGCACAAUGGGCGAAAGCCUGAUGCAGCAACGCCGCGUGAGGGAUGACGGCCUUCGGGUUGUAAACCUCUUUUAGUAGGGAAGAAGGGCCUUCGGGUUUGACGGUACCUGCAGAAAAAGCACCGGCUAACUACGUGCCAGCAGCCGCGGUAAUACGUAGGGUGCAAGCGUUGUCCGGAAUUAUUGGGCGUAAAGAGCUCGUAGGCGGUUUGUCGCGUCUGCUGUGAAAACCCGAGGCUCAACCUCGGGCCUGCAGUGGGUACGGGCAGACUAGAGUGCGGUAGGGGAGAAUGGAAUUCCUGGUGUAGCGGUGGAAUGCGCAGAUAUCAGGAGGAACACCGAUGGCGAAGGCAGUUCUCUGGGCCGUAACUGACGCUGAGGAGCGAAAGCGUGGGGAGCGAACAGGAUUAGAUACCCUGGUAGUCCACGCCGUAAACGUUGGGCGCUAGAUGUGGGGACCUUUCCACGGUUUCCGUGUCGCAGCUAACGCAUUAAGCGCCCCGCCUGGGGAGUACGGCCGCAAGGCUAAAACUCAAAGGAAUUGACGGGGGCCCGCACAAGCGGCGGAGCAUGCGGAUUAAUUCGAUGCAACGCGAAGAACUUUACCAAGGCUUGACAUAUACGAGAACGGGCCAGAAAUGGUCAACUCUUUGGACACUCGUAAACAGGUGGUGCAUGGUUGUCGUCAGCUCGUGUCGUGAGAUGUUGGGUUAAGUCCCGCAACGAGCGCAACCCUCGUUCUAUGUUGCCAGCACGUUAUGGUGGGAACUCAUAGGAGACUGCCGGGGUCAACUCGGAGGAAGGUGGGGAUGACGUCAAAUCAUCAUGCCCCUUAUGUCUUGGGCUUCACGCAUGCUACAAUGGCCGGUACAAAGGGCUGCGAUACCGUAAGGUGGAGCGAAUCCCAAAAAGCCGGUCUCAGUUCGGAUUGAGGUCUGCAACUCGACCUCAUGAAGUCGGAGUCGCUAGUAAUCGCAGAUCAGCAACGCUGCGGUGAAUACGUUCCCGGGCCU